AUAUAUCUCUAUAAUCAAAAUUUUAGAACGUCAAAAAUGGUUGUUUGUAACCAAAAAACGCAUUGGUUCUUGGUCGUUUCCUUCUUGUUCUGCUUCUUCUUGAUCACUUGUCAAGCUAGGAAUUUACGAAUAGAUCGUUAUGAAGUUCAAAAGAGUGACCAAGAAAUCCUUGUAAAGAAUGAAGAGCAAUCAAACUAUAGAGACUCGGUAGCAAUAGACGUAGAUUACACUCCAGCCGGAAAGAAACCUCCAAUUCAUAAUUAGGAUGGAAAAAGUUUACAAACUUGGAAGUUAUAUCCCGAGACGAAUCCCGAAUUUGAAGUCUUUUGAUUCUGUUUUUAUAUGUGUCAUUUUUUCUUGCACAUAUAUAGUCCGAGCUAGACUCAGUGAAUUUCUGUCAAGGUUUUUGAGAAAUUUUCUUUGGGAGUAAGAUGAAUAUAGAAUGAAUGUCGAAGAGAUUAUGUACAUAUAUAUAUAUACACAUCUUUUGAUGGAUUAUUUACAGGUUUUUACAUUCAUAUGGAUUUAUGAAGUUUUUAUGAAGAUACACGAAGCUUCAAAUAAUAAUAUUGAGAGAUGUUUAUUUAUUACUA